GAACGAGUUCUCGUUGAUGAUCGGUGCUUGCACCGAGAUUCAACAUGGAACGAGUGGCGGACGGGUGAGUAACACGUGGGUAACCUGCCCUUAAGUGGGGGAUAACAUUUGGAAACAGAUGCUAAUACCGCAUAGAUCCAAGAACCGCAUGGUUCUUGGCUGAAAGAUGGCGUAAGCUAUCGCUUUUGGAUGGACCCGCGGCGUAUUAGCUAGUUGGUGAGGUAAUGGCUCACCAAGGCGAUGAUACGUAGCCGAACUGAGAGGUUGAUCGGCCACAUUGGGACUGAGACACGGCCCAAACUCCUACGGGAGGCAGCAGUAGGGAAUCUUCCACAAUGGACGCAAGUCUGAUGGAGCAACGCCGCGUGAGUGAAGAAGGCUUUCGGGUCGUAAAACUCUGUUGUUGGAGAAGAAUGGUCGGCAGAGUAACUGUUGUCGGCGUGACGGUAUCCAACCAGAAAGCCACGGCUAACUACGUGCCAGCAGCCGCGGUAAUACGUAGGUGGCAAGCGUUAUCCGGAUUUAUUGGGCGUAAAGCGAGCGCAGGCGGUUUUUUAAGUCUGAUGUGAAAGCCCUCGGCUUAACCGAGGAAGCGCAUCGGAAACUGGGAAACUUGAGUGCAGAAGAGGACAGUGGAACUCCAUGUGUAGCGGUGAAAUGCGUAGAUAUAUGGAAGAACACCAGUGGCGAAGGCGGCUGUCUGGUCUGUAACUGACGCUGAGGCUCGAAAGCAUGGGUAGCGAACAGGAUUAGAUACCCUGGUAGUCCAUGCCGUAAACGAUGAAUGCUAGGUGUUGGAGGGUUUCCGCCCUUCAGUGCCGC
rnacentral:rRNA from 1 species